rnacentral:rRNA from 1 species
GCAUACAAGUCGAACGGUAGCAGCGCUUCGGUGCUGUGAGGGUGGCGAACGGGUGAGUAACACGUAGGUGAUCUACCCUGGGGCCGGGGAUAGCCUGUGGAAACACAGGGUAAUACCGGAUACGACCUGGGAGCUGUGGUUUUCAGGGGAAAGGGGCUACGGCCCCGCCCUGGGAUGAGCCUGCGGCGCAUUAGCUUGUUGGCGGGGUAACGGCCCACCAAGGCGACGAUGCGUAGCCGGCCUGAGAGGGUGAUCGGCCACACUGGGACUGAGAUACGGCCCAGACUCCUACGGGAGGCAGCAGCUAAGAAUCUUCCGCAAUGGGCGCAAGCCUGACGGAGCGACGCCGCGUGGGUGAUGAAGGCGGGAACGUUGUAAAGCCCUUUUCUGCGUGAGGAAUAAGCGCCGGAGGGAAUGCCGGUGUGAUGACGGUAGCGCAGGAAUAAGCCCCGGCCAAUUACGUGCCAGCAGCCGCGGUAACACGUAUGGGGCGAGCGUUGUUCGGAAUUAUUGGGCGUAAAGGGCGCGCAGGCGGCGAGGCAAGCCUGGUGUGAAAGACCGCAGCUCCACUGCGGGUACGCGCUGGGAACUGCCUUGCUUGAGUUCAGGAGGGGGAGCUGGAAUUCCUGGUGUAGGGGUGAAAUCUGUAGAUAUCAGGAAGAACACCGGCGGCGAAGGCGAGCUCCUGGCCUUGAACUGACGCUGAGGCGCGAAAGCGUGGGGAGCGAACAGGAUUAGAUACCCUGGUAGUCCACGCUGUAAACGAUGUGCACUGGGUGUUGGACUUUCACGGUUCAGUGCCGUAGCUAACGCGUUAAGUGCACCGCCUGGGGAGUAUGCCCGCAAGGGUGAAACUCAAAGGAAUUGACGGGGGCCCGCACAAGCGGUGGAGCAUGUGGUUUAAUUCGAUGAUACGCGAGGAACCUUACC